GUGUGGGGCUCAUUCCACGAGUUCCGUGCCGCAGCAAACGCAUUAAGUGCCCCGCCUGGGGAGUACGGCCGCAAGGCUAAAACUCAAAGAAAUUGACGGGGGCCCGCACAAGCGGCGGAGCAUGCGGAUUAAUUCGAUGCAACGCGAAGAACCUUACCAAGGCUUGACAUACACCGGUAACGUGCAGAGAUGUGCGCCCCGCAAGGUCGGUGUACAGGUGGUGCAUGGUUGUCGUCAGCUCGUGUCGUGAGAUGUUGGGUUAAGUCCCGCAACGAGCGCAACCCUCGUCCCAUGUUGCCAGCGGGUUAUGCCGGGGACUCAUGGGAGACUGCCGGGGUCAACUCGGAGGAAGGUGGGGAUGACGUCAAAUCAUCAUGCCCCUUAUGUCUUGGGCUUCACGCAUGCUACAAUGGCCGGUACAAAGGGCUGCGAUACCGCGAGGUGGAGCGAAUCCCAAAAAGCCGGUCUCAGCUCGGAUUGGGGUCUGCAACUCGACCCCAUGAAGUCGGAGUCGCUAGUAAUCGCAGAUCAGCAACGCUGCGGUGAAUACGUUCCCGGGCCUUGUACACACCGCCCGUCAAGUCACGAAAGUCGGUAACACCCGAAGCCGGUGGCCCAACCCCUUGUGGGAGGGAGCUGUCGAAGGUGGGGCUG
rnacentral:rRNA from 1 species